UACGUAGGGUGCAAGCGUUGUCCGGAAUUAUUGGGCGUAAAGAGCUCGUAGGCGGCUUGUCGCGUCGUCCGUGAAAACCUGCGAGCAUCACUGCAGGCUUGCGGUCGAUACGGGCAGGCUAGAGUUCGGUAGGGGAGACUGGAAUUCCUGGUGUAGCGGUGAAAUGCGCAGAUAUCAGGAGGAACACCGGUGGCGAAGGCGGGUCUCUGGGCCGAUACUGACGCUGAGGAGCGAAAGCGUGGGGAGCGAACAGG
rnacentral:rRNA from 1 species